UACGGAGGGUGCGAGCGUUGCUCGGAAUCACUGGGCGUAAAGGGCGCGUAGGUGGCCUGUGGAAGUCUGCGGUGAAAGCCCGGCGCUCAACGCCGGGUCGGCCGUGGAUACUCUCGGGCUGAGCUUACUAGAGGCAGAUGGAAUUCCGGGUGUAGCGGUGGAAUGCGUAGAGAUCCGGAAGAACACCGGUGCGAAGGCGGUCUGCUGGGGUAAUGCUGACACUGAUGCGCGACAGCG
rnacentral:rRNA from 1 species